rnacentral:tRNA from 1 species
AGCUCAGCUAGGUAGAGCACCUGGCUUUUAACCAGGUGGCCAGGGGUUCGAAAGCCUGUUUGCGA